CGCUUCAUCGGCUUGUCGCGUGUUAGAGCAGGUAUGGUUCGUAUAUAUGUGUAAAUUUAAGAGAAAGUCCAAAAGAAUUGGUUCUUAGGUGAUAUCCAGUGUUUAUGCGCCAUCGUCCUUAUCCAGUGUUUAUGCGUGAUGAUUGGAGAAGAAAGGAUUUAGAUUGUGUGCUAGGAGUGUUUAAAAAUAGAGCACUAAAAAAUUGUAUGAAAAUUUGUGUAAGCUUAUGUUGAGCAUGAACCCUUGGGUAAAAUUUAGAGCUGUUUGGUCAAGAUUUGCUUAGCGAAUUAGCUAUUGCUCAAUAUAGGGAGAGAGUUUUACCCCUCGGUAGUUAAAGCGCCUGAUGUCUUAGUAAAGAAGGAAGUUGUUAGCAAGUUUUGGAUAGUUAGAUGAGUUCUAAGAGUGCUUAGCUCCCUGAUACCUAUAGCUUGUAGGUUUGGUCUAGGAGUAAUCUGUGUUGUCUCCUUUGCAAGUUACAUAUUCCUAACAUACGCAAGCAUUCAUAUUCAUAACAUUCAUGUAGAACACCAAGAAGAAGAAUUGAUCUUUGUAAAGGAGGAACCUGCUCCAGUGCUGUUGAUCCAGUGAUGGACUCCAUCUAACUGCUUAUCGGAGUAGAAGGGUUUUAGAUCUUCUCCUGCAAUAAGGCAAGCCCCGGUGCAUUUGCCACCUUCCUUGUAUUACAAAAUUUUAUCACUUAUAUGCUGCAUUAGGUAAUAGGAGUUGAAUGAUUAAACACUUGAUGCAUUACCAUCCUUGAAAGAUUGAUUAUCAUACCUUGUUACCUGUUUUAUAAAAACUAGUAAUGCUUAGUUAUGCUUAUAGAUUAAGAAAAAUGUUUUUGAUCUAUGACUCAUGAUUUUUAAAAAGAAAAAGGGCUUGGGAUGAUGGAGGCAUCCUCCGCGGGGAUGAAUUCAUCAUUCAAGCAGGGUACCUCUGCCAGGUAUCAAACUUUGAGAAUUUGUUUAAAAAUAAGACCAGACGUUGAGCUGGACAGGUCGCCCGUCUGUGUCGAUCAAGGACCGUACCGAUUGUAGGCCUGUUGAUCUAGGACCUUUUAACUGGCCACAUACCUCGUCAUGGGAAAGCCUGAACCCGGCUACUCCAUAUGUGAAAAGACAAUCGCGCACUGGGAGUGGAGAGACGGCGGGAGUGGCGUGUACCCACCUGGCAUGUGGCUGGAUGGUGGAGUACCGUACUCUCGGGUGGCGCGGACCGGUUCACGUAGUGGAGGACCCGUGGGAAUGGUAGACAUAUGCAAGGGUUAAGUGCUACAUAUGUCGUGUGGCUGGAGAUCCCCAGCUGGGUAUUAAUCGAUUCGAAUCGCCGUUACUUCUCGGUCAUGAAGACUGGAUCACUGCUCUGCAUCGUAGAUAACAAGUAUAACAGAGUUUUGGUUAAAAGCAAUCUAGUGUAGGCCAAGUGAAUGAUCUAGAUUAGGAGAAUCUAGAGACAGGUUAGUAGAUUCAGGUAAUAACCUAACUUGUGAAAUAAAACUUGGCUUAAGGAUCCAUUAUUAGUAAGCUUUUAUGCAAAAAGGAGUCAUUGAUAAUUGAUGAGCUUUUCCCUUGAUUCCCCAAAAGCUAGCAUGCCCUUGAGAGUCUUUUUCUUAGUCGGGUAAGUCUUGCUGAGUAAUUGCCUACUUAGGGUUUUAUUCCCUAUGUUGUUGUAGGAAAGAUUUUUGAUGCCUUGGCUUUAUUAGUUGCUCCUUAUGGAGGUCUUGAAGCUUAGAUUACUUAUGUGAAUCUUUUAUGGAAAGGCUUCACCUUUCCAAGUAUUGUAGUUAAGUUAUGCACUCUAAAGACUAUCAGGACUUGUAAUAAUUUCAUUCCCUUUUA